rnacentral:ribozyme from 1 species
UGUACGGCUACAUCGACGAGGGUCUCAUGUCAUCGUCGUCGCCGUCCAAGGUGGGCCGUGGUCGCGCCGGUG